rnacentral:lncRNA from 1 species
UUUGUAUGUGUGUACGCCUGUGUGUGUGUGUAUUGAUAGCCUGAUGAUGGUUGAGAGUAAAUUAUGUGUUGUAACAAAUUUCACAUAGUGUUAUUAUCUAGUUGCCAUUUGAAAAUGAUCACGGUUUUUCUAUAGUUUUGGAGUUUCCAUGUCAUGUCCUUGUGUUGUUAUUUUGUUCUUUUAUUUUCUCGUUGUUGAUUUUUCUUAAC